CGGCCUCUCCCUCCCUCCACCGCUUCCUCUCUUCCCUCUCCUUCUCUCUCCUCCCUCCACUAUCUGCCGCGGGGCCUCCCCGGCCGGGCUACCUAGCCGCUGGGGCGCGGGCCCUCCUUAGCCGGGCCCCAGGGCGCUGGCCGCCGCCGGUGUGCAGGCGAGAUGGCGAGCGGGAGAGCUUUUGGAUACGAGAAGCCGGUGAAUGUUUCGUUUGUGAGUGAUUCUGUAGUUUGUGAUUUGUUUGUGAAUGAUUCAUUUGCGAUUGUGCUGGUGAAUCCUCCGUGUGUUGUGAAUCAAAUCGAACUCAUGUGCUGUGAAUCAAAUCUUGUGCGAAUUGAUUGGUUGUGUGUUUUCACUUGUGUGAUGGUCAUG
rnacentral:lncRNA from 1 species